rnacentral:sRNA from 1 species
GACAUUAUCGAUAUCUUAAGAGGGGAGGGGAGGCAAGGGGGAAACCGGAGUCUUGGAGAAAAAGGCUGUUGCUGGCUCGUACUGUCGUUCGAGCAUGUGCACGUCCUCCAAGCUUCGCUCCCUCUCUCUCGUCGACCUUUCCUUUUCUUUCAUACACACCUGUGCACCCACCGUAGGCUUUCGCAAGGAAGUCUAUGUUUUUUCACAUCACAACCCGUCGUAUGUCCAGAAGGUAAUAUGUCAAACGCGAAAAAAACCCCCCCCCCUUCCCCUUGCAAGAGGAAAAGGAAGGGGCAUCGUGGAUGACACAGAAAUGUAUACAACUUUCAGCAACGGAUCUCUUGGCUCUCGCAUCGAUGAAGAACGCAGCGAAUUGCGAUAAGUAAUGUGAAUUGCAGAUUUCCAGUGAAUCAUCGAAUCUUUGAACGCACCUUGCGCUCCUUGGUAUUCCGAGGAGCAUGCCUGUUUGAGUGUCAUCGAAUUCUCAAUCGUGUCGUGUGCGUCAAGCAUGGGACACGACUUGGAGUUGGGUGUUGCUGGCCGCCCCACAGGGCAGUCAGCUCUCCUUAAAUGCAUUAGCGAACAGCUUCGGUCUCGAAGGACGCAAACGGCUUUUGGCGUGAUAAUGAUCGUCGUCGCCCAAAGCGUCUCGUUCAAGAUCCAUGUUUGCUUCGAAACCUAGAGAGAAGGGACUUCUGACCAGUCUGAAGCGUGAAGUGGAGUCAAGCUUAGCUAGCUACUAGCUUGCUUUCGAGCGAGCGAACGCAGUGCGACAAGGCUUCUGUCAGACUCUUCGGUCCAGAAACUCUCACUCUCGCUUGGAAAGGACGAAAACGGAGGAAGGGAGAAUGAAAAGACGUCAGAUGGGACCUUCCACAGGCACUGCUAAUCUGGGGGAUGGGCGAGGCGGAGCUCUAGCUACUAGCUUGCGAGAGCAAGCAAACGCAGAGCAAGGCUUCCUCGACGAUCGGACUGGCAGUGUUGGGAGAUCGCUCGAAGUCAGGAGUUCCCUAGGUCUGAAGUGGACGUC